rnacentral:rRNA from 1 species
GACGAACGCUGGCGGCGUGCCUAAUACAUGCAAGUCGAACGCAGUUGCGAACGGGUGAGUAACGCGUAGGUAACCUGCCUCAUAGCGGGGGAUAACUAUUGGAAACGAUAGCUAAUACCGCAUACUGUGAGAUGGACCUGCGUUGUAUUAGCUAGUUGGUGAGGUAAAGGCUCACCAAGGCGACGAUACAUAGCCGACCUGAUAGUGUGAUGGGCCACACGGGGACUGAGACACGGCCCAGACUCCUCCGGGAGGAAGAAGUGGGGAAUAUUGCACAAUGGGCGCAAGCCUGAUGCAACCAUGCCGCGUGUAUGAAGAAGGCCUUCGGGUUGUAAAGUACUUUCAGCGAGGAGGCGUUACUCGCAGAAGAAGCACCGGCUAACUCCGUGCCAGCAGCCGCGGUAAUAC